UAGGGAAUAUUGGGCAAUGGAGGGAACUCUGACCCAGCCAUGCCGCGUGCAGGAUGAAGGCGUUAUGCGUUGUAAACCGCUUUUAUAUAGGAAGAAAUAGUCCUUGCGAGGAAAGUUGACGGUACUAUAUGAAUAAGCACCGGCUAACUCCGUGCCAGCAGCCGCGGUAAUACGGAGGGUGCAAGCGUUGUCCGGAUUUAUUGGGUUUAAAGGGUGCGUAGGCGGUUUAUUAAGUCAGUGGUGAAAGACGGUCGCUCAACGAUUGCAGUGCCAUUGAUACUGGUAGACUUGAGUAUGAUUGAGGUAGCUGGAAUGGAUAGUGUAGCGGUGAAAUGCAUAGAUAUUAUCCAGAACACCAAUUGCGUAGGCAAGUUACUAAGUCAUAACUGACGCUGAGGCACGAAAGUGUGGGUAUCAAACAGGAUUAGAUACCCGUGUAGUCCCUGAGCGGGCUGGCAAGGCGCAU
rnacentral:rRNA from 1 species